rnacentral:rRNA from 1 species
UCGCAUCGAUGAAGAACGCAGCGAAAUGCGAUAAGUAAUGUGAAUUGCAGAAUUCAGUGAAUCAUCGAAUCUUUGAACGCACCUUGCACCCUUUGGUAUUCCGAAGGGUAUGCUCGUUUGAGUGUCAUUGUACUCUCACACUCUCUGAUCCUUUGGGUUGGGAGUGGUGGACUUGGGUGCUGCUGCUACUGUGCGGCUCACCUCAAAUGCAUUAGUGCAACUCCUGAUUGGACAUAGUACGGCGUGAUAAGUGUCUUCGCCGGCGCCUUGAAAGAGGGUGGCUAAUUGGGAGCUCUGUGCCUCUUAAACUGUCUUUGGACAAUCUCUGACAACUUGACCUCAAAUCGAGUAGGACUACCCGCUGAACUUAAGCAUAUCAAUAAGCGGAGGAAAAGAAACU